UACGUAGGGCGCGAGCGUUGUCCGGAAUCAUUGGGCGUAAAGAGCUCGUAGGCGGCCUGUCGCGUCUGCUGUGAAAUCCCGGGGCUUAACCCCGGGCGUGCAGUGGAUACGGGCUGGCUGGAGGCAGGCAGGGGAGAACGGAAUUCCCGGUGUAGCGGUGAAAUGCGCAGAUAUCGGGAAGAACACCCGUGGCGAAGGCGGCUCUCUGGAACGCAACUGACGCUGAGACGCGAAAGCGUGGGGAGCAAACAGGAUUAGAAACCCU
rnacentral:rRNA from 1 species